rnacentral:tRNA from 1 species
GGCUGAGCCUGGAGAAAGCCCGAGCAACGGCCGUUCUCGGACGGGGGUUCGAUUCCCCCCGCCUCCACCA